GAUAACAAUACUACGUACAUAUGGCCCAAUGAGAGAAAACAGAGAAGAAGGCCCUAUCUUCAUCUUCUUCUUCUGUGUUGUAUUCUCCUCAUCUUCUUUCUCUCAUCCUCUUCUCUCUCUUCCAUCACUAUCUCAGAAACCUCUCCAGCACCACCACCAAACAACGUCGUUCUAGCCGCCGCAAUCUCAAAUUUGAUCAAAUUUGUUUGGUCAAAUCUCAAACUUCUAACUGUUUUCAUGGUUAAAACCCUAAGCCCUAAUCCUUCAACAUUAGAACAGACGUAGGGAACGGUUAUGGCAUCGCACCUCCAAUCUCCGACCAACCCUUUCUUCUUAGGCUCUAACGGCGAUCAUUUCUAACACACCCAGGCACGCGCCACUACCACUACUGCUGCCACUCCUCAUUUGCCUCUCGAUCCUUAUCCCGACAAACAUCAAAUUCUUGAGUUGUUCCACAACCACAUUAAACUUGCCAAAUCUGCGAUUCUCGGUUUGAUAGAUCUAUUUUAGAUCUCAAAUCGCAAAUCUCAUAUCUGUUUCAGAUUCUCGAUUUGUUCCACAACUGCAUUAACUGAGCCAGAUCUGACUCCAAAAGCAAGCAAACCCCUCACUCUCUCUCUCUCUCUUUCUUCCCUUAAACACCAAAGUCCACACACAAAUUCUCUAAUCAUUGGUUCAUUCUCUCUCUCUAAAAUCUCUAUAUUUGUAUUAAUAAUGGUUGAGACCAUUAAUUUUGAAACUCUAAAAAGACCACUAAUGACAUGGCACUCAAUAAAAAAAGAAAAAAAAUAUAACACCAAGGCCAAAACAUCACAUUAUUCAUGAUCAAUUGAUCAUCGAAGAUAUUUGGGAAAGCAUCGAAGAACACAAAGUACUAUGAAAUUAUUGGUUUUUUAAAUUUUUUGGUGCAGUUUGGUUGAUGAGAAAACCUCGAAAUGGAGAAGAAAAUGAGAUUGUGAAUCUUUAAAUUUGUACAGAUAAAGUUCUGGUUGUUGUUGACCUUUAUAUAUUAUUUUUCUUUUUCCAAUUUUAGGUUAGGCUUUGGACAAAGAUUAUUUUUGUGUU